rnacentral:piRNA from 1 species
UAAAUGGCAUUAAAUGAGCGAAGC